rnacentral:tRNA from 1 species
GAAACGCCGCGGCUGGUGGUCGCUGUAGACUUAGGUUUCUAAGAUCAAAGAAGGCCCGCAGAUCCUCUCUGUGGGCCUUUUA